rnacentral:siRNA from 1 species
AGAGCGAGACUGGGUUGACGG